UAUUUUGCAGAGGCAAGACCAGACUAAGGUUAGAAAGGAGUCAGUAAUGUGACAUCAAGACUCCAGAAUGUGAGCGGCGUUAGCAAGAAGAAAACUCCUCCAGGUAGUUCAGAGACCGAAACUCCACUCCCCGUCAUGCUUCCGUCCAAUCGCGCAGCUGUUGGGGUCAUGAUCGCGUUGCAUGCUGGGAGGCGUAGUCUCCGCCAGGCGGACGCACAGUCGUCAGGAGAUUGGACCAGACGAAGACUCUUUCACUGCUUGAAUGCUGACAAAAGGAGAAACUGCACCCAUUUCAGAGGAAAUGAGGGAGGCUCUGGACCACUCAGGAUUCCCUGAGAAAGCAGCUGAGGAAAACCACUAUAUAACCCUACUCAAAAGCUUCUUCCAACCCAGUCUCUGGCUGUAGCCUUUUCUGGUCUUCAACCAAAGGAGGCUUAUGCCUCCACCUCGUUGUUGUGGAUCAAACUGUGUCCCCCCUAAAGAAAUGCUGAAGUCCUCACGCCUGGUACCUGGGGAUGUGACCUUAUUUGGAAAUAGGGUCUUCGCAGAGGUAAUUAGGUUAAGAUGAAGUCAUAUUGGAUUGGAUGAGCCCUAAAUCCAAUGGCUGGUGUCCUUAUAAGAAGGCCAUGGGAAGACAUAGGGAAGACACAGGGGAGAAUGUCACGUGAAGAUGGAGGCAGAAAUUGGAGUGAAGCAUCCAGAAGCCAAGGAAUACCAAAGAUUUCUGGCAACCACCAGAAGCUAAGAGAAAAGCAUGGAACAGGUUCUCUCUCAGAACCGCCAGAAGCAAUCAAUCCUGCCACACCUUGAUUUUGGAUUUCCAGCCUCCAGAACUGUGAGACGAUAGAUUUCUGUUGUUGUAAGCCACCUGGUUUGUUGUACUUUGUUAGACAGCCCUACAAAACGAAUAUACCUGCUCUUGGGGUUCUUGGCCCCUCCAAGUCCUGAGCCUCUCAGAAGCUCCUUCUGAAAGACAGAUCAGCUCACUUCCGUCCGCAGAUGUUCUGGGAUGUUAGUUCCUUGCUAACUUUUAAUAUUUGAGGAGAUCUUAUGUCCUCUCACAUUCUGUGGUCCUUGAGAGUUUUUUUUUUUUUUAAGAAAUACAACUUCAUUAUUUUGAAUCACCCUUAAUAGUUUUAAAUAAGUCAAUAAAAUAUUGAACAAAGUUGCUCAUUUCAGAAUUACCUCUUUUAGCAAAAAGAAAAAAGAAAGCAGGUAAUGACUGAAUAAAUUAUGACAAGUCAACUGAUUGGAAUACCAGGCUACUGUUUCAAAGGAUAACGGGAAAAUUGUUAGAAUGUUAUGUUAAGUCACCGAAGCUGACUACACUAGUGUCUCUGGGUAAAUUCGUGUCUACGUGUGGACAAUAGCAUAAAGGGGCACCACAGGAAGAAGAGAAUGGGAGGUCCUUAUUUCUGCUAACAGCCUGCUCUUAAUGACCCAAGUAUUCGGGAAGGCGAUAUGUUUUCUCUAUUGUGUUCCUUAUGUCCUUCUGAGUCCUCACUAGCAGAGUCCUUAACAUCCUUGCUUAUACUAACAGUCUGUUCAAGGAAAUCUAGGUUUUUAUCCAUCAUGUUCCUCAAAAAAGUUUCACCUUCUUUUCAAUACCCAAGAAAGUUUAUACCUUUUUAAAAAUUCCUUUAUUAUUAUAUUAAUGGAAUUCUCAGAAGGAUGAGGAGAUAAACUAGUGAAGCCAGUCUGCCAUCUUUCACUGGCAAUGUCAGCCCGCUUUGCAAGUGGAAGUGUUAGGUCAAGAACAGCUUCCCAUAACAUAUUUCUGAGAGAAUUUUCUAUAGUACCCAGCUAAACAGAAUCCAUUAGCCCAUUUUGUCUUCUAGGAAUUGGUCUCCCUGGAAUCUCUACUCUGGUCCCUGUACCUUCCCCUCUGAAGGAUUCCGGGUUUCAUUCUGUAAAUGGGAGGUUUACAAAGGUAGAGCACACUACUGGCCAGAAUGGAAUCCCUUUUCCUUCCUCAGGGCAGUAUAGUGAGAAAAAGCAGCAGAUGUAGACAGAGAGGACUUGGAUUUGAACUUCUGGCUCUAUUCUGUAUUAACUGCUUCACUCGAAUUAAGUUCAUUAGCUUCUGUAGGUUUCACUUUCCUCAUAUGUUAAACUUACACCAUUAGACAUUAUGGGAUCCAGAAUGAAGUAUUUUCUUCUUUCACAGUUAGGGUCAAAUUAAACUGUGUCUGUAAAAGCACCUUGUAAACACAGUCAGUGUUCAUUAAAUGUCUGUUUUCUGAAAAAAAUAUGUGCAUG